rnacentral:rRNA from 1 species
GGGGAAUAUUGCACAAUGGGCGAAAGCCUGAUGCAGCAACGCCGCGUGAGCGAAGAAGGCCUUUGGGUCGUAAAGCUCUGUCCUUGGGGAAGAUAAUGACGGUACCCAUGGAGGAAGCCCCGGCUAACUACGUGCCAGCAGCCGCGGUAAUACGUAGGGGGCGAGCGUUAUCCGGAAUUAUUGGGCGUAAAGAGUGCGUAGGUGGUUCUCUAAGCGUGGGGUGAAAGGCAAUAGCUCAACUAUUGUAAGCCUUGCGAACUGGGGGACUUGAGUGCAGGAGAGGUAAGUGGAAUUCCUAGUGUAGCGGUGAAAUGCGUAGAUAUUAGGAGGAACACCAGUGGCGAAGGCGACUUACUGGACUGUAACUGACACUGAGGCACGAAAGCGUGGGGAGCAAAC